rnacentral:tRNA from 1 species
CGGUGAAGUAGUCGAGGAUGCGCGCCUGGUUCACGAUCAGGUGGGGGAAUUCGCUGAUCCCCGUCGGAUCGUCCUCGGCCACCGCCGU